rnacentral:rRNA from 1 species
UACCGGCGGCUCGAGUGGUGGCCACUAUUACUGGGCUUAAAGCGUUCGUAGCUUGGUUGUUAAGUCUCUUGGGAAAUCUAUCGGCUUAACCGAUAGGCGUCCAGGGGAUACUGGCAAUCUAGGGACCGGGAGAGGUGAGGGGUACUUCAGGGGUAGGAGUGAAAUCCUGUAAUCCUUGGGGGACCACCUGUGGCGAAGGCGCCUCACCAGAACGGCUCCGACAGUGAGGGACGAAAGCUAGGGGCACGAACCGG